ACUAAAGAUAGAACCAGCAGGCCCUUCCAGGCAGCUAAAAGCCUCCAGAGUAAGAGGUGUUCCCCAUUCUGCAGACUCCUUGAAAUACCCUUUCAGUAAUUCUACCAAUACCUCCAUGUCUCUACUCUGCCAUAACAAAGGCUGUGGGCAACAAUUUGACCCCAAUACCAACCUUUCUGAUUCCUGUUGCUAUCACCCUGGGGUCCCAAUCUUCCAUGAUGCUCUCAAGGGUUGGUCCUGCUGCCAAAAGAGAACUAUAGAUUUCUCUGAGUUCUUAAACAUCAAGGGCUGUACUAUGGGACUACACUGUGCUGAAAAGCUUCCUGAGGCCCCUCAAUCUGAGGGCCCUGCUACAAGUUCGCUUCAGGAGCAAAAACCUCUGAAUACAAUUCCAAAGUCAGCAGAGACCUUGUGCCGAGAAAGGCCUAAGUCUGAUUUGCCCCUGAAGCUGCUGCCACUAAAUAUAUCUCAUGUCCUAGAAAUGGCAUUGGAACAAAAAGAACUAGACCAGGAACCUGGAGCAGGAAUUGAUAGUAGUCUGAUCUGGACUGGUUCCAGCUGCCAGAACCCAGGAUGUGACGCAGUUUACCAAGGCCCAGAGAGUGAUGCUACUCUAUGUACCUACCACCCAGGAGCACCUCGAUUCCAUGAAGGGAUGAAGUCUUGGAGUUGUUGUGGCAUCCAGACCCUGGAUUUUGGGGCAUUCCUGGCACAGCCAGGAUGCAGAGUUGGUAGACAUGACUGGGGGAAACAGCUGCCAGCAUCUUGCCGCCAUGAUUGGCACCAAACAGAUUCCUUAGUAGUGAUGACUGUAUAUGGCCAGAUUCCACUUCCUGCAUUCAACUGGGUGAAGGCCAGUCAAACUGAGCUUCAUGUCCACAUUGUCUUUGAUGGUAACCGUGUUUUCCAAGCACAGAUGAAGCUCUGGGGGAUCCUAUGUUUUGGAGAACCACCAGAAGCUCCUGAGAUCCACGCCAUGUUGGAACUUAGGACCCUGGGAAAUCACGCAAGAAGCUUGCCUCCCUGGUAAGAGGCUGCGGUGUGGCACACUGCAGCCCUUCCUGUGGGAGAACCACCAGCGGCUCCUGAUAUCUGCGCCAUGUUGGAACUUAAGAUGCUGGGAAACGAAGCAAGCAGCUCCCCUCCCUGGAGGCUCGGAAGCCAAGCAAGCACCUCCCCUCCUGGUUAGUGGCUGUGGUGUGGCAGACUGCACCCCUUCCAGGGGGAGAACCACCAGUGUCUCCUGAGAUCUGCACCAGGUUUGAACUUAGGGUGCUGGGAAACCAAGCAAGCAGCUCCCCUCCCAGGUAAGUGGCAGUGGUGUGGCAGACUGUGCCCCUUCCAGCGGGAGAACCACCUGAAAUCUGUGCCGUGUUGGAUCUUAGGACCCUGGGAAACCAACAAGCUCACCUCCCUGUUUAGUGGCUGCAGUGUGGCAGAGUGAAGCCCUUCCGGGGGAGAACCACUAGUGUUUCCCGAGAUUCACGCCAUGUUGGAACUUAGGACCCUGGGAGACCAAGCAAGCAGCUCCCAUCCCUGUGAUGGCGUGUAGCAGACUGUGGCUCUUCAAGGGGAGAAUCACCAGUGUCUCCUGAGAUCUGUGCUGUGUUGGAUCUUAGGACCCUGCGAAACCAAGCAAGAACCUCACCUCCCUGGUUACUAGCUGCAGUGUGGCAGACUAUGGCCUCUUUAGGGGGAGAACCACCAGUGUCUUCUGAGAUCCACAUCAUGUUGAAAUUUACAAUGCUGGGAAACCAAGCAACCAGCCUGCCUCCCUGCUAAGCAAUAGGAGCCUACUGGUGCACGGCCUAGCGUCAAACAUCCCAGUUCCCCUACCCCCCUUCUUCUGUCCCCCUGUUAGCAAAUGAGAACCAGAAAUCUGAGCAUCUACUGGGAGGUUGACCAUAGCAAAUAAUGAGGAUUUCCUUCUACCAUCUCUUUGAAGGCAAAUAUUUUUAUUACUGUUUUGCUUUAUUCUGAUUAAUGGUACUGCUCUAUUCAAUAUUCUAUUUUGUUGAGUUCUAUAAUGUUUUGUAUUUCAUUUUAUUUUGAUAUACGUGAUUGAAAGAACAACUAUUUUAAAGAUAACGAAAUAUGCUGUGAUACCUAUUACUGUUAUCCCGGUAACCUGCUAUGAAGUUCUGUACCAAUUUCACUGUACAAUCUUAGUUGGCUUUAUUCUGUCUUGUUCUGUUGUAUUUUACUACUUUCAAAAUAAAAUUUUAAAAAAUG